rnacentral:lncRNA from 1 species
UGUCCCCAUGCAGGCUUUUAUUUAAACAUACUGUCUUGACGAACUGCUUUUUACCUUAUAUAAUGGUUUAUUUAUUUUAAGGACUUUCAAUCGCCGAUGCAGGGAAACUAUGUUGUUAUUUUCAUUUCCGCGAACCAAUACUUUUGAACCAGAAAACUCUUCUACAAAAGGUAUGAAGUCUCUCCAUAAAGUUUCUUUACCAAAAAUUCCAUCAAUGUUUAAGCGAGCUGGUCAAAUGGAGAAUGAGAGUCCAGACUAGCGAGAGUUUGCAUGAGAGUUGUCUCAACUCUCAUGCUCUGGUGAUAAAGCACAAAGAGGUGUAUGAGAGUUGAUGAAUAUAUUACAGUACCACGCGCAUGAAAUUUUGAACCAGCUCAAGAUUGAAAAAAAUGCAUCCCUGAUGAGAGUUGGUUGUUUCCCGGGUUAAAUGCGAGCGAGAGUUGCAACCAACUCUCAGUUCUUAAUUACUUUAAUCCCCGUUUGCAUGACCGCAUUUCAAUUCACAGUGAGAAUGGUUCUUGUAGUUUAGUGCUAUUCUCAAUAAGAGAAGCAAUUUUCAAACAAACCGAGUAAUUAUAUAUUAACUAGUUAAUAUGUUUAAUUUUCUAGGCCUCUCUGGACAAAUCUAUUGAUUUCUUGGAUCCAAUCGAUGCUGAUAUCCCAAAAGGAGGUU